AUCGCUUCUCGGCCUUUUGGCUAAGAUCAAAGUGUAGUAUCUGUUCUCGUAAGUGUGAUAACUUACGCAACUCCUAUGGGAGUUCGAUUAUCACUAGUAUUUUUGGAACACGUCGGGGCUCUGGAGCUUGCUCCAUCCCUGACUGGGUUGGCCCGGUAUUGCAGUACAUCCGGGAUCGGCCCGUCCCCU
rfam:Hypsibius dujardini strain Z151 scaffold0178, whole genome shotgun sequence.